CGCUACCUGCAGUCGAGGGGCAGCGAGAAGGAAGCUUGCUUUCUUUGUCGGCGACCGGCGCACGGGUGAGUAACGCGUAUCCAACCUUCCCUGUACUAGGGGAUAGCCCGGCGAAAGUCGGAUUAAUACCCUAUGUUUUCCGAAGCGGGCAUUCAAUUUGGAACAAAGGUUUACCGGUAUAGGAUGGGGAUGCGUCUGAUUAGAUAGUAGGCGGGGUAACGGCCCACCUAGUCGACGAUCAGUAGGGGUUCUGAGAGGAAGGUCCCCCACAUUGAAACUGAGACACGGUCCAAACUCCUACGGGAGGCAGCAGUGAGGAAUAUUGGUCAAUGGACGAGAGUCUGAACCACCCAAGUACCG
rnacentral:rRNA from 1 species